rnacentral:rRNA from 1 species
UGAGUGUAAGUGCACAAGGGAGCUUGACUGUGAGACCGACGGGUCGAGCAGGGACGAAAGUCGGGACUAGUGAUCCGGCGGUGGCUUGUGGAAGCGCCGUCGCUCAACGGAUAAAAGGUACCCCGGGGAUAACAGGCUGAUCUUCCCCAAGAGUCCAUAUCGACGGGAUGGUUUGGCACCUCGAUGUCGGCUCGUCGCAUCCUGGGGCUGGAGUCGGUCCCAAGGGUUGGGCUGUUCGCCCAUUAAAGCGGUACGCGAGCUGGGUUUAGAACGUCGUGAGACAGUUCGGUCCCUAUCCGCUGUGCGCGUAGGAAUAUUGAGAAGGGCUGUCCCUAGUACGAGAGGACCGGGACGGACGAACCUCUGGUGUGCCAGUUGUUCUGCCAAGGGCAUGGCUGGUUGGCUACGUUCGGGAGGGAUAACCGCUGAAAGCAUCUAAGCGGGAAGCCUGCUUCGAGAUGAGUAUUCCCACCUCCUUGAGAGGGUAAGGCUCCCAGUAGACGACUGGGUUGAUAGGCCGGAUAUGGAAGCCCUGUAAGGGGUGGAGUUGACCGGUACUAAUAGGCCGAGGGCUUGUCCUCAGUUG